rnacentral:rRNA from 1 species
CCUACGGGUGGCAGCAGUGAGGAAUAUUGGUCAAUGGACGGAAGCCUGAACCAGCCAUGCCGCGUGCAGGAAGACGGCCCUAUGAGUUGUAAACUGCGUUUGUACAGGUGUAAGUGUGUGCACGUGUAUUCUUCUGAAUGUACUGUAUGAAUAAGGAUCGGCUAACUCCGGGCCAGCAGCCGCGGUAAGGCGGAGGAUCCAAGCGUUAUCCGGAUUUAUUGGGUUUAAAGGGUGCGUAGGCGGGUGGUUAAGUUAGGUGGGAAAUGUUCGAGCUUAACUUGAGAACUGCCUUUAAUACUGUUGUUCUAGAGAGUAGAUGAGGUAGGCGGAAUGUAUGGUGUAGCGGUGAAAUGCUUAGAGAUCAUGCAGAACACCGAUUGCGAAGGCAGCUUACCAAUCUAUAUCUGACGUUGAGGCACGAAAGCGUGGGGAGCAAACAGGAUUAGAUACCCUAGUAGUC